rnacentral:rRNA from 1 species
UUGGGCCUACGGGGCGCAGCAGUGAGGAAUAUUGGUCAAUGGCCGGAAGGCUGAACCAGCCAAGCCGCGUGAGGGAGGAAGGCGCAGAGCGUCGCAGACCUCUUUUGCCGGGGGACAAAAGGCCGGACUCGUCCGGUCCUGAGGGUACCCGGAGAAAAAGCAUCGGCUAACUCCGUGCCAGCAGCCGCGGUAAUACGGAGGAUGCGAGCGUUAUCCGGAUUUAUUGGGUUUAAAGGGUGCGCAGGCGGAAUGUCAAGUCAGCGGUAAAAUUUCGGGGCUCAACCCCGUCGUGCCGUUGAAACUGG